rnacentral:rRNA from 1 species
AACGCGAAGAACCUUACCUACCCUUGACAUCCAGAGAAUUUUGCAGAGAUGCGAAAGUGCCGAAAGGAACUUUGAGACAGGUGCUGCAUGGCUGUCGUCAGCUCGUGUUGUGAGAUGUUGGGUUAAGUCCCGUAACGAGCGCAACCCUUAUCCUUAGUUGCCAUCAUUCAGUUGGGCACUCUAAGGGGACUGCCGGUGAUAAGCCGCGAGGAAGGUGGGGAUGACGUCAAGUCCUCAUGGCCCUUACAGGCUGGGCUACACACGUGCUACAAUGGCGGUGACAAUGGGACGCAAUGGGGAAACCCUGCGCAAAUCUCAAAAAGCCGUCUCAGUUCGGAUUGUGCUCUGCAACUCGAGCACAUGAAGUUGGAAUCGCUAGUAAUCGCAGAUCAGCACGCUGCGGUGAAUACGUUCCCGGGCCUUGUACACACCGGUACUA